UGCGCAGGUGGGCUUGUAAGUCAGUGGUGAAAUCUUGCCGCUUAACGGUAAAAUUGCCAUUGAUACUGCAAGUCUUGAGUAUGGUUGAGGUAGGUGGAAUGUGUUGUGUAGCGGUGAAAUGCAUAGAUAUGACACAGAACGCCGAUUGCGAAGGCAACUUACUAAGCCAUUACUGACGCUGAGGCACGAAAGCGUGGGGAUCAAACAGGAUUAGAUACCCUGGUAGUCC
rnacentral:rRNA from 1 species